rnacentral:rRNA from 1 species
CCUGCCGCUUACUCGGGGAUAGCCUUUCGAAAGAAAGAUUAAUACCCGAUGGUAUAAAGAGUUCGCANNUUCUCUUUAUUAAAGAAUUUCGGUAAGCGAUGGGGAUGCGUUCCAUUAGAUUGUUGGCGGGGUAACGGCCCACCAAGUCUACGAUGGAUAGGGGUUCUGAGAGGAAGGUCCCCCACAUUGGAACUGAGACACGGUCCAAACUCCUACGGGAGGCAGCAGUGAGGAAUAUUGGUCAAUGGACGAGAGUCUGAACCAGCCAAGUAGCGUGAAGGAUGACUGCCCUAUGGGUUGUAAACUUCUUUUAUAAGGGAAUAAGGUGAGGGACGUGUCCCUUUUUGUAUGUACCUUAUGAAUAAGGAUCGGCUAACUCCGUGCCAGCAGCCGCGGUAAUACGGAGGAUCCAAGCGUUAUCCGGAUUUAUUGGGUUUAAAGGGAGCGUAGGUUGACAUAUAAGUCAGCUGUGAAAGUUUACGGCUCAACCGUGAAAUUGCAGUUGAUACUGUAUGUCUUGAGUGUACAAGAGGUGGGCGGAAUUCGUGGUGUAGCGGUGAAAUGCUUAGAUAUCACGAAGAACUCCGAUUG